AGAGUUUGAUCAUGGCUCAGGACGAACGCUGGCGGCGUGCCUAAUACAUGCAAGUCGAACGAAGCUUUCUUUCACCGAAUGCUUACAUUCACCGAAAGAAGCUUAGUGGCGAACGGGUGAGUAACACGUAGGCAACCUGCCCAAAAGAGGGGGAUAACACUUGGAAACAGGUGCUAAUACCGCAUAACCAUGAACACCGCAUGAUGUUCAUGUAAAAGACGGCUUUUGCUGUCACUUUUGGAUGGGCCUGCGGCGUAUUAACUUGUUGGUGGGGUAACGGCCUACCAAGGUGAUGAUACGUAGCCGAACUGAGAGGUUGAUCGGCCACAUUGAGACUGAGACACGGCCCAAACUCCUACGGGAGGCAGCAGUAGGGAAUCUUCCACAAUGGACGAAAGUCUGAUGGAGCAACGCCGCGUGAAUGAAGAAGGCCUUCGGGUCGUAAAAUUCUGUUGUCAGAGAAGAACGUGCGUGAGAGUAACUGUUCACGUAUUGACGGUAUCUGACCAGAAAGCCACGGCUAACUACGUGCCAGCAGCCGCGGUAAUACGUAGGUGGCGAGCGUUGUCCGGAUUUAUUGGGCGUAAAGGGAACGCAGGCGGUCUUUUAAGUCUGAUGUGAAAGCCUUCGGCUUAACCGAAGUAGUGCAUUGGAAACUGGAAGACUUGAGUGCAGAAGAGGAGAGUGGAACUCCAUGUGUAGCGGUGAAAUGCGUAGAUAUAUGGAAGAACACCAGUGGCGAAAGCGGCUCUCUGGUCUGUAACUGACGCUGAGGUUCGAAAGCGUGGGUAGCAAACAGGAUUAGAUACCCUGGUAGUCCACGCCGUAAACGAUGAGUGCUAAGUGUUGGAGGGUUUCCGCCCUUCAGUGCUGCAGCUAACGCAUUAAGCACUCCGCCUGGGGAGUACGGUCGCAAGACUGAAACUCAAAGGAAUUGACGGGGGCCCGCACAAGCGGUGGAGCAUGUGGUUUAAUUCGAAGCAACGCGAAGAACCUUACCAGGUCUUGACAUCUUCUGACAAUUCCAGAGAUGGAACGUUCCCUUCGGGGACAGAAUGACAGGUGGUGCAUGGUUGUCGUCAGCUCGUGUCGUGAGAUGUUGGGUUAAGUCCCGCAACGAGCGCAACCCUUAUUGUCAGUUACCAUCAUUAAGUUGGGCACUCUGGCGAGACUGCCGGUGACAAACCGGAGGAAGGUGGGGAUGACGUCAAAUCAUCAUGCCCCUUAUGACCUGGGCUACACACGUGCUACAAUGGACGGUACAACGAGUCGCUAACUCGCGAGGGCAAGCUAAUCUCUUAAAGCCGUUCUCAGUUCGGAUUGCAGGCUGCAACUCGCCUGCAUGAAGUCGGAAUCGCUAGUAAUCGCGAAUCAGCAUGUCGCGGUGAAUACGUUCCCGGGCCUUGUGCACACCGCCCGUCACACCAUGAGAGUUUGUAACACCCAAAGUCGGUGGGGUAACCUUUUGGAGCCAGCCGCCUAAGGUGGGACAGAUGAUUGGGGUGAAGUCGUAACAAGGUA
rnacentral:rRNA from 1 species